UAUAUGUUUGCUACGCAACAAUGGCCGUCCACAAUCUAAGCACAGGAACAUAUAUUCAUUUGAAAACCCAAUUCCCUUUAGUCCUAAAUUAAAGGCUUUUAGUGUUCUUAAUAAACCCAGAAAAGUUCCCUUCUUAGUUCCAUCAAUGGGUUCUUCUGCUUCUUCCCAAAGACCCGACAACGUUCAAGAUAUUGAUGGUCCAUCCGGUACAGAGGCUGCUGCAGUUGACUAUGGUUCUGUAAGUAACGGGGAAUGAAGAAAGAGGCUUACACCUGAACAAUUUUAUAUUACUCGACAAAAGGAACCGAAAGAGCUUUCACUGGGGAAUACUGGAACAC